CCUACGGGAGGCAGCAGUGGGGAAUAUUGGGCAAUGGAGGAAACUCUGACCCAGCGACGCCGCGUGCGGGAUGAAGGCCUUCGGGUUGUAAACCGCUUUCAGUAGGGAAGAAGCGAAAGUGACGGUACCUACAAAAGAAGCACCGGCUAACUAUGUGCCAGCAGCCGCGGUAAUACAUAGGGUGCAAGCGUUGUCCGGAAUUAUUGGGCGUAAAGAGCUCGUAGGUCGUUUGUUACGUCGGAUGUGAAAACCUGAGGCUCAACCUCAGGCCUGCAUUCGAUACGGGCAAACUAGAGUUUGGUAGGGGAGACUGGAAUUCCUGGUGUAGCGGUGGAAUGCGCAGAUAUCAGGAGGAACACCAAUGGCGAAGGCAGGUCUCUGGGCCAAUACUGACACUGAGGAGCGAAAGUCUGGGGAGCGAACAGGAUUAGAUACCCUGGUAGUACAGACCGUAAACGGUGGGCACUAGUUGUGGGAACCUUCCACGGUUUCUGCGACGCAGCUAACGCAUUAAGUGCCCCGCCUGGGGAGUACGAUCGCAAGAUUAAAACUCAAAGGAAUUGACGG
rnacentral:rRNA from 1 species